rnacentral:rRNA from 1 species
ACGAACGCUGGCGGCACGCUUAACACAUGCAAGUCGAACGAGAGAAGAGAAGCUUGCUUUUCUGAUCUAGUGGCGGACGGGUGAGUAACACGUGAGCAAUCUGCCUUUCAGAGGGGGAUACCGAUUGGAAACGAUCGUUAAUACCGCAUAACAUAAUUGAACCGCAUGAUUUGAUUAUCAAAGAUUUAUCGCUGAAAGAUGAGCUCGCGUCUGAUUAGCUAGUUGGUAAGGUAACGGCUUACCAAGGCGACGAUCAGUAGCCGGACUGAGAGGUUGAUCGGCCACAUUGGGACUGAGACACGGCCCAGACUCCUACGGGAGGCAGCAGUGGGGAAUAUUGCACAAUGGAGGAAACUCUGAUGCAGCGAUGCCGCGUGAGGGAAGAAGGUUUUAGGAUUGUAAACCUCUGUCUUCAGGGACGAAAAAAGACGGUACCUGAGGAGGAAGCUCCGGCUAACUACGUGCCAGCAGCCGCGGUAAUACGUAGGGAGCGAGCGUUGUCCGGAAUUACUGGGUGUAAAGGGAGCGUAGGCGGGAUCGCAAGUCAGAUGUGAAAACUAUGGGCUUAACCCAUAAACUGCAUUUGAAACUGUGGUUCUUGAGUGAAGUAGAGGUAAGCGGAAUUCCUAGUGUAGCGGUGAAAUGCGUAGAUAUUAGGAGGAACAUCAGUGGCGAAGGCGGCUUACUGGGCUUUAACUGACGCUGAGGCUCGAAAGCGUGGGGAGCAAACAGGAUUAGAUACCCUGGUAGUCCACGCCGUAAACGAUGAUUACUAGGUGUGGGGGGACUGACCCCUUCCGUGCCGCAGCAAACGCAAUAAGUAAUCCACCUGGGGAGUACGACCGCAAGGUUGAAACUCAAAGGAAUUGACGGGGGCCCGCACAAGCAGUGGAGUAUGUGGAUUAAUUCGAAGCAACGCGAAGAACCUUACCAGGUCUUGACAUCGUAUGCAUAGCUCAGAGAUGAGUGAAAUCUCUUCGGAGACAUAUAGACAGGUGGUGCAUGGUUGUCGUCAGCUCGUGUCGUGAGAUGUUGGGUUAAGUCCCGCAACGAGCGCAACCCUUACUGUUAGUUGCUACGCAAGAGCACUCUAGCAGGACUGCCGUUGACAAAACGGAGGAAGGUGGGGAUGACGUCAAAUCAUCAUGCCCCUUAUGACCUGGGCCUCACACGUACUACAAUGGCUGUUAACAGAGGGAUGCAAAGCCGCGAGGUGGAGCGAACCCCUAAAAGCAGUCUUAGUUCGGAUUGUAGGCUGCAACCCGCCUACAUGAAGUCGGAAUUGCUAGUAAUCGCAGAUCAGCAUGCUGCGGUGAAUACGUUCCCGGGCCUUGUACACACCGCCCGUCACACCACGAGAGUUUGUAACACCCGAAGUCGGUGAGGUAACCGUAAGGAGCCAGCCGCCUAAGGUGGGAUAGAUGAUUGGGGUG